CCCCAUGUCACAAACCCCCUGUGCCAGGCCAGCCCUGUCCCCAGGUCACACGCACGCCUGUGCCCGCCUCGCACACACCCAGGCCAGCCCUAUCCCCAGGAGGGUGUAGCCGGGAGAGGGGUCGGUCUCUUCUCCCAAAUAACCAGAGACAGCGUAAAAGGAAACGAUCUCAAAUUGCACCGGGGGAGAUUCAAGUUGGAUAUUAAGAAAAAUUAUUCACUGGAAGGCUGGUCAAGCGUUCUAAAGGGCAAGUAGUGGAUUCACCUUUCCCUGGAAAUGCUCAAAUAAAGUGUAGAUGUGGCACUUGG